GACGAACGCUGGCGGCGUGCCUAACACAUGCAAGUCGAACGGACAGGCCCUGCUUUUGUGCGGUGGUCGAGUGGCGAACGGGUGAGUAACACGUGUGUAACCUGUCCCUGACUGUGGGAUAACUUCAGGAAACUGGGGCUCUUACCGCAUAGGAUCUCUUGCUGCAUGGUGGGCGUUGGAAAGUUUCGGUGGUUGGGGAUGGACUCGCGGCAUAUCAGCUUGUUGGUGGGGUAGUGGUUUACCAAGGCUAUGAGGGGUAGCCGACCUGAGAGGCGGGCCGGCCACACGAGGCCUGGGGGAAGGCGCAGACUAGAAUCGGACGCAACGGGGGAGAGGAUUACACAAUGAGCGGAAGCCAGAUGCGACAAAGCCGCGAGCGGGAAGACGGGCUUCGGGUUGUGAACCAAUGUGGCAUGAGACGAGGCGUUAGUGACGGUAACUGGUAAAGAAGCACCGGCUAACUACGUG
rnacentral:rRNA from 1 species